rnacentral:misc_RNA from 1 species
GAUGAAGAACGUAGCGAAAUGCGAUAAGUAAUGUGAAUUGCAGAGUUCAGUGAAUCAUCGAAUCUUUGAACGCACAUUGCGCCCGCCAGUAUUCUGGCGGGCAUGCCUGUUCGAGCGUCAUUACAACCCUCAGGCCCCCGGGCCUGGCGUUGGGGAUCGGCGGAGCCCCCCGUGGGCACACGCCGUCCCCCAAAUGCAGUGGCGGUCCCGCCGCAGCUUCCAUCGCGUAGUAGCUAACACCUCGCGACUGGAGAGCGGCGCGGCCACGCCGUAAAACACCCAACUCUUCUGAAGUUGACCUCGAAUCAGGUAGGAAUACCCGCUGAACUUAAGCAUAUCAAUAAGCGGAGGA